AAACAUAGCCAUCGAAAAUCUUGCUCGUGUUACACGGAAACUUUAACUCAUUUCCAUGAGCUCUAACAUUAGAUGGUGAGAAGGCGAGAAGAAGCACCAUAUUAAAAAACGAGGUUGGUCUAACGGUUAGCAAUAGAGAGCUGGAGUUAAGUGGUUUCAAAGUUGAUUUAAUUUCUAAAAAUCGAGUUUUGAAGAAAAUUGAGUGGGGAUUUGUGAAGAAGCCAUUGAGAGAAGCAUUUUGAUGCCUAUUUUCGCCGGAGAAGGAACAGUUGAGAUUCAAGAAAAAGGGAAAGGGUUAGAUCGUCCAUUGUUGCAGAGGAGGAAAGAAAAGAAAUAAAUUGAUCAAUAGUUUCGGAAAUAAUUUUUUAAUCAAAGAAAACAAUUCAGAAAUAGGAAAAGGAAAUAUUUUUUAAAAAAAUAUGUGGAAUAGUUUAACAUGUCACCUAAGAUAAAUAGUGUUAAUGACACUUAACAAUUGGAUGAUUAAUGUUAGUGAUAAUUUUAUAAAAUUUUGAAAGUUGGGUAGCUGAAAUGUAAUUUAAAUCAAAGUUUAGCUAUGGUUGUUGUAAUUCACCCUUAAUUAUAAUAUUGUUGUUUGAAAUAGUGUUGUUUAGUUUAAACUUGAAGAACACAACACCCCCACUUUGCUCUCUCGCCUUUCAAUAUUUCCAAAUUUACAGUUAAAAACACUGCAACCCCCCGCCCCCGCCCUACCAAAAAAAAUGAUAGGCGGACGAAGGGAAGGUGGGUUGAUGAGAAAGGCAUCGCAGUCAGUGGUGAAAUCAAGAAUAUUAAUAGCUGUUGCCAUUGGGAUUUCCAUUGGUUGCCUCUUCGCUUUUCUUUAUCCUCACGGUUUCCUCUCUUUCUAUUCCCCUGCUUUCCACUCCCAGGUUCUAUCUUCCAAAUGUGAGUCGUCUCAUAGGUUGAACGAGUUGAAAGCAGAGUAUGCGGCCGAAUUGGAGAAAAACGAAGAGUUGAGACAACAAGUUAAGGAGCUUACUGAAAAGGUUAGGUUGGCUGAACAAAAGAAAGAUCAUGCACAGAAACAAAUCGAGGCAUUGGGUAAAUGGCGUAAAGCGGGGCCUUCCGGAACCGUUAAAGGUUUAAGAACAAACCCCACGGUGAUUCCAGAUGAAUCCGUUAAUCCGAGAUUGGCGGUAAUUCUGGAAGCUGUUGCUGUCGGAAGAGAGCUUAUAGUGGCACUUGCAAACUGGAAAGUGAAGGAGUCAUUAGAGAUUUGGUUCACAAACAUUAAGAGAGUUGGCAUAACUAAUUAUUUGGUUGUUGCUUUGGAUGAUAAGAUCACUGAAUUUUGCAAGUCAAAUAAUGUUCCAGUGUUUACGAGAGAUGCAAAUGAUGGGAUUGCUUCCAUUGGGAGGACAGGGAAUAACCAUGCUGUUUCGGGAUUGAAAUUUCAUAUCUUGAGAGAGUUUUUGCAGCUGGGGUAUAGUGUUCUCCUUUCGGAUAUCGAUAUUGUGUAUUUGCAAAACCCUUUCGAUUAUCUUUAUAGAGAUUCAGAUGUGGAAUCCAUGACCGAUGGCCAUGAUAACAUGACAGCUUAUGGAUUCGAUGAUGUCUUUGAUGAACCUGCAAUGGGAUGGGCUCGAUAUGCACACACAAUGCGUAUAUGGGUUUUUAACUCUGGUUUCUUCUAUAUCAGACCUACAAUCCCUUCAAUCGAGCUCUUAGAUCGUGUGGCUGGUCGCCUUGCUAAGGAACCAAAGUCAUGGGACCAGGCAGUUUUCAAUGAGGAACUUUUUUUCCCUUCACAUCUCGGGUAUGAAGGGCUUCAUGCUGCUCGGAGAACUAUGGAUUUCUAUCUCUUUAUGAACAGCAAAGUCCUUUUCAAGACUGUGAGGAAAGAUGAUAGACUGAGUAAGCUUAAGCCGGUCAUUGUUCACGUAAAUUACCAUCCUAAUAAGCUCCAACGAAUGAAAGCUGUCAUGGAAUUCUACGUUGAUGGCAACCGCGAUGCAUUGAAACCUUUUCCCGAUGGUUCAGAAUGGGAAUGGUAAACUGUGCUUUACUCAUCACAACUUCACAAGUCAGCAACUGGUGCGAAAGACUCAUCCUGUAAAUGGCUCAAACCGAAGCAUAUUCAUUACACAGAUACGAGUACACACAUACACAAAAGAAAGGUGGUUCAUUCUCUUUAUUCCCUACUUGUGCAGAAAGUAAAAGCAACUACCCAAAGGGUUCCGAAAAAUGGGCGUAUAAACAAGUGGCAUGAUCGUAGUGGAUGUGUUAAUGUCAUUUCAAAUAAGAAAAUGAAGACCUUUGUGUAUAUGAAUGAGCGAACUACACAUUUUAUUAGACAAGUCUUUUGGUAUAUUCGGUUUUGAAUUAAUCGGCUAAUGGUUAAUGAUCAAAUAGAACUCACUUAUGGGAUUCAAUUAGUAUCAAAAUGAGCAAAGCCAGUGGAUGUAUUGGUAAAACAAUGAGAGUGCCUGAGGAGGAUGUAUAGUAAGAAAUUGUAGCUGCAAUGCAAUGCAAUGGUCGCAUUGUAACAGAAACGAACUUCUCCGAAUCGCAUCACGACUAUUGCGGUCAAAAUUCGUUACGUAACAGCCAAUAAAUAGUGGGACAACAUUGCAACAAUUUGUUACAAAGAUGAGAGAUCCGUAGGCAAGAAUGCAUUAAAGCAUAGCCACCCCAGUCUUUCCUAUCUCUAGGCAUUUUGUUGUAUCUGUAAUUUUUCAAGAAUCAACAAGUUUCGUAACCGAAUAUCAUAGUGUUAAAUUUU